GGCACACCUACAUCUUCGUCGCUCCUUUUCCGAAGCCGAGUCUUCGCUCUCGUCCUCCUUGUGCUCCGGCUCUGUUGCGCGUCGCCGUGAUCGAGAAGCCGACGUCGAUGGACGUAAUCGACCAGGAGUUACACAGAUUCAAGCAGAUACAAGGAUGAUAUCGAUUAGAGUUUUUGAGCUCAACGCUUUGAUCCAUUUGGCUGGAUGGUAGUGCUCUGUGAAAAGAUCAUGAAGUUGCACCUGGAGACCUGGCUGCAGUUGUUAGUUUUCUCAUUUCUGGAGUCAGAUUGAUUAUGGAGUUAUUUGGAGGAUUAUGCCCAGUAUGAUGUUUAUGCACUUCAAGAUUCAUCAGUAAGUAUUGACCUCUAAAUUAUGUGAGCACGCUUUUUACUCUAGUCUACAAAUUUCUGAAAUUUGCAUACUGUUCUUGCAAUUAUUUUUACUAUUAUGUUUGUACAUUAUAUCUUGAAUCAUAUGAUGUAUUAGUCUGUAUGCUUGUUUUAUUAUGUUAUUGGUGUAACAUUACCUUGAAAUUGAUUUCUUACCUAUAUAUUGUGUCGUAAUAUUAAUACAAAUUAUUAUAAAAAAAGAAAACAUUUAGAAUCAA